CGAAAGCCUGACGGAGCAAGACCGCGUGAGGGAGGAAGGCUCUUGGGUUGUAAACCUCUUUUCUCAGGGAAGAAGCUCUGACGGUACCUGAGGAAUCAGCCUCGGCUAACUCCGUGCCAGCAGCCGCGGUAAUACGGAGGAGGCAAGCGUUAUUCGGAAUCAUUGGGCGUAAAGCGUUCGUAGGCGGCUGUUCAAGUCUGCUGUCAAAGACCGGGGCUUAACUCCGGAAAGGCAGUGGAAACUGCGAGACUAGAGUGCGGUAGGGGUAGAGGGAAUUCCCGGUGUAGCGGUGAAAUGCGUAGAGAUCGGGAAGAACAUCGGUGGCGAAAGCGCUCUACUGGGCCGCAACUGACACUCAGGGACGAAAGCUAGGGGAGCG
rnacentral:rRNA from 1 species